UACGGAGGGUGCAAGCGUUAUCCGGAUUCACUGGGUUUAAAGGGUGCGUAGGUGGGGUGGUACGUCAGUGGUGAAAUCUCCGAGCUUAACUUGGAAACUGCCGUUGAUACUAUCAAUCUUGAAUAUCGCGUAGGUAAGCGGAAUAUGUCAUGUAGCGGUGAAAUGCUUAGAUAUGACAUAGAACACCAAUGGCGAAGGCAGCUUACUGGACGAUCACUGACACUGAGGCACGAAAGCGUGGGGAGCAAACAGG
rnacentral:rRNA from 1 species